UACGGGGGGAGCAAGCGUUGUUCGGAUUUACUGGGCGUAAAGGGCGCGUAGGCGGCCACCGCAAGUCAGUUGUGAAAUCUCUGGGCUUAACCCAGAACGGUCAGCUGAUACUGCGGGGCUAGAGUGCAGAAGGGGCAACUGGAAUUCUCGGUGUAGCGGUGAAAUGCGUAGAUAUCGAGAGGAACACCUGAGGUGAAGACGGGUUGCUGGGCCGACACUGACGCUGAGUGCGCGAAAGCCAGGGGAGCAAACGGG
rnacentral:rRNA from 1 species